rnacentral:lncRNA from 10 species
CACGAUCCGAGUCCUGGUAGCUACACACAGAGCUCUGCAAUCAGCCUGACGAUUCCACGCCGCCCAGCUCAAACUAGCUGAGGCGCUGCAGACCUCAGCCAACAAGGAGCUUCUCCAAUCCCCCAGGUGCCAUGUUCUUGCUGUUGUUUCCUGGGGCCCCUGAAGUGCCUGACCCUGAGCAAGUUCAAGGAGCACACAGGGAGGAGGAGCCAGGGACAGAGUCAGAGUCAGUAGGCACAGAGCUCUUGGCAGCCUGGGAUGAGGAGGGGAGUCACAGGGACCCUGAAUGGGAAUAGAGUUCCAGUCUCGCAACUGUGUCUUGUCUUAUAGCAGGAGCUCCCCAAAGCAGACUCUGGGUCAAAGAUUCAACUGCAAGUAAUUUGCUUAGGAGAUGCCCCCAGGAAGUGCUACGAGAGAGGCAGAAGGCAGGCAGGGAGGCAGGAAGCAGGGAGAGCCAUGAAAAUGUGUGGUAAGGAGGUUACAGCUCAGGUCCUGGCUUGGGCCCCCAGGGAGUGCCCUCUGAGAGCCUAUGUGGAAGCAACCUCAGAGCUUUCUCUCUGGAAGGUCGAUGAAGCUGUGUUGCUAACCCACCAACUUCCACCCUCAUAGGUGAGGGCUGCAGCUUUUCUGGCACUUCUGGCUUGCCCUGGGCUUGCCCUGGCAGAGUGAGAGCCCUGAGUCAGGGAGACUCUGGGAGCCAAUUGCAUGCUUGGGAACUGCCUGCCCAUGACACCCAGGGGAACCCGAUGGGCCGGCAUGGACAGCUUCUGCCACUGGCUCCCAAAACAGCAGUGCACACAUAGGAGGAGGAAGCAGGACGACUUCUGGAUUAGAGCCUCUGGGCUUACAGGAACCAACUCUGAGCUGAAGCCACUGGCCAGGCUCUUGAAUAUGAUAAGAGAAUCACAGCAUGCGGCUCAGCACGUGGCUCAAGGCGGAUGUCAGCCCCGCUGGACACCAUGCUCCCCUCAGCCCUGCAUCUUCUUUCAGGCUGUCCCUUCUGCCCGGACAACGCUCUCCCACUCCCCUCCCCUCCUCACCCCUAGUCCCUUCACCUAAUUAACUCCUGGGCAUUCCUCGGGGCUCUGUCUUAAUGUCACCUCCUCUGAGAGCCCUCCUUGAUGCUCCAGAUUGGGUCAAGCAUAUUAUGAACCAUCACAAGGCCAUGCAUUCCUCCUGCAGAACCUGAGCUCAACAGAAAUAAAUCAAAACUUC